GGACUAAGCCAUCCCAAAAAAGAUAUCUAUAAUUGGACCAUGCCAUAGUAACUAACCCAACAUAAGUGGGAAUAAACUAACAAACACAAUAUCAAGAUGAACAAACACAACAUCAGAGGGAUUAGAACCUGGGACCUCUAUAUUCUGAGAGCAUUUAUAAUGAUGGGAUAGUUUACCAGUGAUAUAUUUUUUAAACUCAUGAAAAUAUCAGCCGUGCGUUAAAGGGCACUUAUGUAAUAUUCACCUACAGUAAUACAAAUAUGGGUGGUCUCUCUCUGAUAGUCAAAUUGAUGUAGAAACAAUAGAACAAUGGGAAAGAGAAACAAAUUCUCAAUUCUAUUAGUUCUCCAAUCAGUUAAAUACAGAAAAGGUCCACCAACCAC
rnacentral:misc_RNA from 1 species